CAGAAUAUAUUUUAAUAAAAAUAUUAAUAUUGGGGGUUAAAGUUAUAAUUUUUAUUC
rnacentral:tRNA from 1 species